UCGAGAAUCUUUCACAAUGGGGGCAACCCUGAUGGAGCGACGCCGCGUGGAGGAUAAGGUCUUCGGAUUGUAAACUCCUGUCAUGCGAGAACAAGGUUGUAGAGUUAAUAGCUUUGCAAAUUGAUGGUACCGCAAGAGGAAGAGACGGCUAACUCUGUGCCAGCAGCCGCGGUAAUACAGAGGUCUCAAGCGUUGUUCGGAAUCACUGGGCGUAAAGGGUGCGUAGGUGGCGUGGUAAGUCAGAUGUGAAAGCCCGGGGCUCAACCUCGGAAUUGCAUCCGAUACUGCCGUGCUAGAGUACUGAAGAGGUGACUAGAAUUCUCGGUGUAGCAGUGAAAUGCGUAGAUAUCGAGAGGAAUACCAACGGCGAAGGCAGGUCACUGGGCAGUUACUGACACUGAGGCACGAAGGCCAGGGGAGCAAACGGGAUUAGAUACCCAGGUAGUCCCUGAGCGGGCUGGCAAGGCGCAU
rnacentral:rRNA from 1 species